rnacentral:rRNA from 1 species
UAGGGAAUCUUCGGCAAUGGACGAAAGUCUGACCGAGCAACGCCGCGUGAGUGAAGAAGGUUUUCGGAUCGUAAAAAUCUGUUGUUAGAGAAGAACAAGGACGUUAGUAACUGAACGUCCCCUGACGGUAUCUAACCAGAAAGCCACGGCUAACUACGUGCCAGCAGCCGCGGUAAUACGUAGGUGGCAAGCGUUGUCCGGAUUUAUUGGGCGUAAAGCGAGCGCAGGCGGUUUCUUAAGUCUGAUGUGAAAGCCCCCGGCUCAACCGGGGAGGGUCAUUGGAAACUGGGAGACUUGAGUGCAGAAGAGGAGAGUGGAAUUCCAUGUGUAGCCGUGAAAUGCGUAGAUAUAUGAAGGAACACCAGUGGCGAAGGCGGCUCUCUGGUCUGUAACUGACGCUGAGGCUCGAAAGCGUGGGGAGCAAACAGG